rnacentral:lncRNA from 1 species
CAGCAGUAUUCCAAUGGGAAGMCUUUAUUACCGGCCGGGGCUCGCUCCACAGCAAAGGAGAGCGGCCCCCAAUCAACGUCAGGGCUGGGGUUAAAAAGGGAAAAACCGCAAAGCUCGGUGUAGGUGGCAUCUCUCUCUUGUYUUAGCAGCUUACUGCUAAGCAAGCAAGCGACUUACAAAAGCAAAUUUUUGCGGUCAGCCAGGGGUCCUAGUUCCUCCCUUGACCUGGUUACACCCACUUUACAUAAUAACUGUCUUCCUUCUUCGGUGGUUAUUCCGGGAAUCAGUCGCCAUCUUGGGGUCAGGUUUGCUAUCACAGUUUUCUGCGAGUCACUGAGAGGUGCUGGGCCCUUUCAACUUCAGUUUUCGGGUUAAUCUGUGGCUUUCGGAAUCUGAGUGGGAAUUCCCUUGAUAGCUCCACUGGGGAACUGCAGGUUAUGGGGUCCAAGCUGGGCUCUCUCGGAAUUUAGUGAGGCUACAGAAAUAUGGGUGUUUUCUCCCCUGAACGUCCCAUACCACAAACUGCCCUUUACACAACUGGAACCACGGUGACACCGGCGAGAAUGUCUCAGCUCCCGGGGACCCGGGAUGCUUCUUGAACGUUGAUUGGCUGUACUUGACGGCGGUGGGCGGGACGAGGCUCCGGAUUGGUUGUCAGAACCCAUUCGUUACCACUCACUGUGUGCCCGCGCCCGCCCUGCAGCUGAGUUGAGAGGCMGCCAACUCCAGUCCCGGGACUAGGCUGGGCGUAACCGCGUCCUGGGACCAGGUAGCCACUGAGAGUCCGGGCCUGCAGGGGCGGGGCGUCCUGGGUACCCGUGAUUGGCGCGUCGAGAGUCGUCUCCCGUCGUGCACCGCGGCACAGGCGACUCACCCGGAAGGAGAAGCGGUGACUCGGGCUAUAUGGUGGGGUGCUGGCGGUGUCGCUGUGGGGAGCUGGUGCUGCUCUCAGGAGUCAGCCCGGAUCAUUUGUUGGCAAUACAUAUUGGCUGAAGUCAGUUUUCAUUUCAAGGUAAAUUGGAAAGGGAAAUUAAACCUUAUUGUUCCGCUCUUAAGAGAGAGGAAGGGGGUGG